UAGCAUAUCAAUAAGCGGAGGAAAAAGAAACUAACAAGGAUUCCCUUUAGUAACUGCGAGUGAAGAGGGAAAAGCUCAAAUUUAAAAUCUGGCAGUGUUUCACUGUCCGAGUUGUAACCUAGAGAAGUGUAACCUGUGCUGGACCGUGUACAAGUCUCCUGGAAUGGAGCAUCACAGAGGGUGAGAAUCCCGUCUUUGACAUGGACUACCAGUGCAUUGCGGUUGCGCUCUCAACGAGUCGAGUUGUUUGGGAAUGCAGCUCUAAAUGGGUGGUAAAUUCCAUCUAAAGCUAAAUAUUGGCGAGAGACCGAUAGCGAACAAGUACCGUGAGGGAAAGAUGAAAAGAACUUUGGAAAGAGAGUUAAACAGUAUGUGAAAUUGUUGAAAGGGAAACGUUUGAAGUCAGUCGCGUUGGUUGGGGAUCAGCCUGACAUUGUUGGGUGUAUUUCCUGGUCGACGGGCCAACAUCAGUUUUGACUGCCAGAAAAAGGCCAAAGGAAUGUGGCACCUUUGGGUGUGUUAUAGCCCUUGGUCGUAUAUGGUGGUUGGGACUGAGGAAAGCAGCGUGCCGAAAGGCCGGGUUUCGACCACGUUCACGCUGAGGAUGUUGGCAUAAUGGCUUUAAGCGACCCGUCUUGAAACACGGACCAAGGAGUCUAACAUGCAUGCGAGUGUUUGGGUGGAAAACCCUUACGCGUAAUGAAAGUGAAAGUUGAGAUCCCUGUCGCGGGGAGCAUCGACGCCCGGACCAGAACU
rnacentral:rRNA from 1 species